UGUGCACAUAUGAAAUUGGAAUAAAAUGCAAACGCUAGUUAGCUCUCAAGUUGGCUAACGCGUUACAUAGCCUGUCUAAAGUAACGUUCAAAACACCACCAUUCAAUCUGGAGUUGUAGGUAGUGUACAAACAGAGAAUAUUAGAGAACGUAGCUAGCAUUAUUAGCAAUAACUUGAAGUCAGUUCAGUGAUGAAGUCAUCUCAGAUGUUUUGAGAAUGUUUAAGCUUUACAGGUAACGUUACAGUUAAACUAGCUAACAGCAGGCUCAGUCCAUGUUUGUUUAGUUUACUUGUACACACUACGGGGACUCAAGAAAACGAUUGCUUGCAUGGAUAAAGAGCAUCCCCGUAUAGAUGCCAACAUCAACAAUAGAUCCGACCUGCGACAAAUUCUUCACCUGGACGGUCUAUCUAAGAAAAACAAGGCCCUGAAAGAGUGGAGGAGUCAAGAGUUUCACAUUCUCAGAUACACCGGAUCUGAGAUAUGGGAUUGUACAGAAGGAGAUUAAGACCCUCCAGUGCUGCGAGAACAAAGUGCCUCACGUUGGCCACUGCUUAGAUCCUGUGGCGGGCUGGGGAAGGGAAAAAAGCCACCAUCGCUAUAACAUCAGGAAGAAACCAUUUCACCCAUACAGGACACUGUAGAUCUGAAGGAGUACUAGAAAAGGUACAGUAAUGUUAGGAAUACCUCAAAGUAGACCAGAGUGCAUGCUUUGGCUUACUCAAACCUCAUAAGACAUUGAACUGUGAUACAUAAUAAUCCAAUAAAAAAGGCUAUUCUA